UACGGAGGGUGCAAGCGUUAAUCGGAAUUACUGGGCGUAAAGCGCGCGUAGGCGGUUUGAUAAGUCGAUUGUGAAAUCCCCGGGCCUCAACCUGGGAAUUGCAGUCGAGACUGUCAGACUAGAGUGUGGGAGAGGGUGGUGGAAUUCCCGGUGUAGCGGUGAAAUGCGUAGAUAUCGGGAGGAACAUCAGUGGCGAAGGCGACCGCCUGGCCCAACACUGACGCUGAGGUGCGAAAGCGUGGGUAGCAAACAGG
rnacentral:rRNA from 1 species